rnacentral:rRNA from 1 species
AGAGUUUGAUCCUGGCUCAGGAUGAACGCUAGCUACAGGCUUAACACAUGCAAGUCGAGGGGCAGCAUGAGUGUAGCAAUACACUUGAUGGCGACCGGCGCACGGGUGAGUAACACGUAUCCAACCUGCCUUGAGCUUGGGGAUAGCCCUCUGAAAGGAGGAUUAAUACCCGAUGUGGUUGCUUGGGGACAUCCCUUUGCAAUUAAAGAUUCAUCGGCUCAUGAUGGGGAUGCGUACGAUUAGGUAGUCGGCGGGGUAACGGCCCACCGAGCCUGCGAUCGUUAGGGGUUCUGAGAGGAAGGUCCCCCACAUAGGAACUGAGACACGGUCCUAACUCCUACGGGAGGCAGCAGUGAGGAAUAUUGGUCAAUGGCCGUAAGGCUGAACCAGCCAAGUAGCGUGAAGGAUGACUGCCCUACGGGUUGUAAACUUCUUUUAUGCGGGAAUAAAGUGCGGCACGCGUGCCGUUUUGUAUGUACCGCAUGAAUAAGCAUCGGCUAAUUCCGUGCCAGCAGCCGCGGUAAUACGGAAGAUGCGAGCGUUAUCCGGAUUUAUUGGGUUUAAAGGGAGCGUAGGCGGGCUUUUAAGUCUGCGGUAAAAUGUCAGCGCUUAACGCUGGCCUGCCGUGGAAACUGGGGGCCUUGAAUGUGCACAAGGUGGAUGGAAUUCGUGGUGUAGCGGUGAAAUGCUUAGAUAUCACGAAGAACUCCGAUUGCGAAGGCAGUCCACUGGGGCAUGAUUGACGCUGAGGCUCGAAAGUGCGGGUAUCAAACAGGAUUAGAUACCCUGGUAGUCCGCACAGUAAACGAUGAAUGCUCGUUAUGGGCGAUAUACAGUCCGUGACCAAGCGAAAGCAUUAAGCAUUCCACCUGGGGAGUACGCCGGCAACGGUGAAACUCAAAGGAAUUGACGGGGGCCCGCACAAGCGGAGGAACAUGUGGUUUAAUUCGAUGAUACGCGAGGAACCUUACCCGGGCUUGAAUUGCACUGGACGGUGCGCAGAGACGCGCUCCUUCUUCGGACCAGUGUGAAGGUGCUGCAUGGUUGUCGUCAGCUCGUGCCGUGAGGUGUCGGCUUAAGUGCCAUAACGAGCGCAACC